AGGUGUGAUAUACAUGUAACAUGCACUAGAUAUAUAUCCAAGUUAGCUGACCUCUGUUAUUUUUCAAAGGGUCAUAAAGGUGGUCAAGAAAUAAAUUGCCAACAGACAGCAGCAUUCCUUGAUUUAGAUGCAUUUCUCUUCAUGUUCUCUCCUGAAAGAUUUUCCAUGAUGCCUCAGGGUUAGGAUUGGGAUGCAAGAUGUACAGUACAUAUAUAUGAUGUCUAUGGGUACAUUGCUGUAAUGGCCUGAAAAAUCUUUUGUGAAACCGAGAAAUGUUCAUCUUCCAUUGCCAUGAUUGUGUAAAAGGACGAGCAGAGGAAUGAUUCAAAAAUAUAUGGCAGGAUUGAGAAUCUAACCCAUGACCCGUAGUCUGGUACUCUACCCACUGAUCAAUCCAUGCUGAUGGUCCAUCUGCUACAUUGAUGUCAUCUUAUAUAUAUUUAUUCAUUUAUAUCAUAUGGACAUUUAAAAAUUGACAGUAAAAUAAAAAAAGUUUGAUAUUCAGCAAAAUAGAAUUUGUUACAAUACAUGUUUAAGAAAUUAAGUACAUGUACAUGCAUUGUUAUGCAUACAAUUAUGUACAUGUAAUUAUAUUUGUUAAUAGAUAAAUUUUUAGAUGAAUUUUCAUGUUGUUAUUGAUAUUGACAUGUACAUGUAUUACUUCCAUUUCUAGAAUGAUUUUAACAUCUUGAUAUUAAAAAGAUGACAUAAUAAAUAAAUCUUAAAUAUU